CCCUUAGAUGUUCUGGGCCGCACGCGCGCUACACUGAUGCAUUCAACGAGCCUAUCCUUGACCGACAGGUCCGGGUAAUCUUUGAAUCUGCAUCGUGACGGGGAUAGAUUAUUGCAAUUAUUAAUCUUGAACGAGGAAUUCCUAGUAAACGCGAGUCAUCAGCUCGCAUUGAUUACGUCCCUGCCCUUUGUACACACCGCCCGUCGCACCUACCGAUUGAAUGGUUCGGUGAAGAUCUCGGACUUCGAUAUUUGUUCUUCAUUGAACUUAUAUAGUGGGAAGUUAUCUGAACCUCAUCAUUUAGAGGAAGGUGAAGUCGUAACA
rnacentral:rRNA from 1 species